rnacentral:misc_RNA from 1 species
GCAACGACGCGCAAGCAUUAUUCAAAAAUGGCAUCUAUAAAGCGCCCAUAUCAAACAGCAAGCACAUCGCUGUCCCAGCAGCAGCGCCUGCGCCUGUGCUCUCUCCUCUUCUUCCUCAACCCUCGCCGCAACAGGAGAGCUCUCGAUCAGCGCCGCCCGGCCCACCUCGCCCGCGGCCUAACAUUAGGCUCGGGGACUACGGUGCAGCCAAGGAUGACUUGCCGAUCUAUCGUCGAUCAACGAGCGACGCCUCUGAUGUCUGAUCUCGACAUCUAUCGUCGUCAGACCAUCAUCAUCUAUCGGCAAGUUGUUCUUGGCUACACCGUGGCUCCUGCUCCUGAUGUAAGGCUUUGUCGUCUGCGGCGACACGUACUUUUUUUUCCCCUAUCGUCGUCUGAUGAUGAUGAUCGAGCUGAGGGUAAUUUAAGGAAGGUCAAUCACAUCAAAUCAAGGUAACAUAUAAUAUAGGACUAGUAGUAGGAGUUUACGUACGAUUAUUCAUUCUACAGCAUCUGUUCUUCUUCUAAGCAAUCACGUAACGUACACCUGCUAGCUAGUAUAGUGUCCUGAUUUAUUUAGCAACUAGUACGUAUGUACUAUAUAUAACAAGACGAGAGAAGUGACAGGAAAUCUAUAGCAGUGAUAGGAUAAAGCUCUUGCAGAUUAUGCGUGUGUGUGGCACUGCUGCUGCCAGCCAGUGCCAAGGCCGCCAUGCAUGCACAAAUCCGUCGUCUCCAACUUCUUGCAGCUGAGCCAGCGGCUCAACAUAGGAGAUUGAAGGCGACGAAUGAGAAGAGAGCACAUGAUGCAAGGGAAUGGGAGACGGCUAGAGUCGAGAAACAGAUGUUGGAGAAUCUUGUUGAUCGUCUCAAGGGAAAGAUUGGAUGUGCCGUGAACUAUCUCGCAGAUGAGGCACGUGCAAGAUACGUUCAGGAAAAAUGGCAACGGUGGAGCUGAUGGAGGAGGAGGACACAUCAAGGUUGAGUGAGCUUAUCGCUCUUGCUAAGGCAGGAUUACAUGGGGAAGAGGAGG